CUACCAGACUCCUACGGGAGGCAGCAGUGGGGAAUAUUGCACAAUGGGGGGAACCCUGAUGCAGCGACGCCGCGUGGGUGAAGGAGCGUUUCGGCGCGUAAAGCCCUAUCGGCAGGGAAGAAGGAGGACGGUACCUGACUAAGAAGCCCCGGCUAACUACGUGCCAGCAGCCGCGGCAAUACGUAGGGGGCAAGCGUUAUCCGGAUUUACUGGGUGUAAAGGGGGCGCAGACGGCGAUGCAAGCCAGGAGUGAAGGCCCGGGGCGCAACCCCGGGACUGCUCUUGGAACUGCGGGGCUGGAGUGCAGGAGGGGCAGGCGGAAGUCCUGGUGUAGCGGUGAAAUGCGUAG
rnacentral:rRNA from 1 species